UACAGAGGUCUCAAGCGUUGUUCGGAUUCAUUGGGCGUAAAGGGUGCGUAGGUGGCAUGGUAAGUCGGAUGUGAAAUCCCGGGGCUCAACCCCCGGAACUGCAUUCGAUACUGCUGCGCUAGAGUACUGGAGAGGAGAUUGGAAUUUACGGUGUAGCAGUGAAAUGCGUAGAUAUCGUAAGGAAGACCAGUGGCGAAGGCGGAUCGUC
rnacentral:rRNA from 1 species